AUGGAGGACAUGCUUCCACUCCCUUUUAUUUGAAUUCAGAGUACAGAAAAACACACCGAGUGUCACAGAGUGUCAACAUGUGUACUGUCCUCGUCAUAUUUUCUGCCACACUAUUGUUUCUACCAGGUUCUGGUGUUUGUUCUGUAGUCCAGAGUCCUCCUGAUGUCAUAAAAAAUCAAGACGAGUUUGCUGAGAUCAAAUGUGCACACACUGUAAACAGCUAUAAUCAAAUACUGUGGUACAAACACAGCCAGGACACAGGAUUUAAAUACGUGGGAUACCUUUCAAAUGCUUACCCAAAGCUAGAGGAAGAAUUUGAAACCAAAAUCAAACUGAGUGGUGAUGGGAGCAAAAACGGUUCUUUGAGCAUAAAGAGUCUUUCAGUGAAUGACAGUGCUGUGUAUUUCUGUGCAGCUUAUUACACAGUGCUGUAG